rnacentral:rRNA from 1 species
UACGGGGGGGGCAAGCGUUGUUCGGAAUUACUGGGCGUAAAGGGCUCGUAGGCGGCUGGGCAAGUCCGAUGUGAAAGCUUCCGGCUUAACUGGAAAAUUGCAUCGGAAACUGCUCGGCUUGAAGGUGGGAGAGGGUAGCGGAAUUCCCGGUGUAGUGGUGAAAUGCGUAGAUAUCGGGAGGAACACCAGUGGCGCAAGCGGCCGCCUGGCACUGACCUGACACUGAGCCACGACGGCGUGGGGAGCAAACGGG